AUUGAACGCUGGCGGAAUGCUUUACACAUGCAAGUCGAACGGCAGCACGGACUUCGGUCUGGUGGCGAGUGGCGAACGGGUGAGUAAUGUAUCGGAACGUGCCCAGUCGUGGGGGAUAACGUAGUGAAAAUUACGCUAAUACCGCAUACGAUCUAUGGAUGAAAGCGGGGGAUCGCAAGACCUCGCGCGAUUGGAGCGGCCGAUGUCAGAUUAGGUAGUUGGUGAGGUAAAGGCUCACCAAGCCGACGAUCUGUAGCUGGUCUGAGAGGACGACAGGCCACCCUGGGACUGAGACACGGCCCAGACUCCUACGGGAGGCAGCAGUGGGGAAUUUUGGACAAUGGGCGCAAGCCUGGUCCAGCCAUUCCGCGUGCAGGAUGAAGGCCCUCGGGUUGUAAACUGCUUUUGUACAGAACGAAAAGGUUUCUACUAAUACUAGGAGCUCAUGACGGUACUGUAAGAAUAAGCACCGGCUAACUACGUGCCAGCCGCCGCCGUAA
rnacentral:rRNA from 1 species